UCGCGCUGCCUGGUCCCUUCACUCCAGUGCACGCAGCUAGGCAGCUGGCGCAUGUACGUGCUGUUGCUAGAGUACUUGUAUGUCCUGGCAUACGCUGAUCAGCGAAAUUCAACGUUUUCUGCAGUGACGUGCGCGUGCAGCCUCCGCAGAUGAAUCCGAGCGCUACUGCGUAUGUGCCGUCAGCGGUGAUUGCCAACGCGCUGGCACGGCGAAAGCCCGCACCGCCUGUAACCCCACCUUUGUCCUCUAAGACUCCAGGAGUGAGCUGCUGUCAAGCCAGUCCAGUGACCGCGACCCCGAUGACCGCAGCAGAGCGGCUGCGCCGCUCAAGGGACAACGCAAUCCACCAUCCGAAGCCGUCUGCAACCACCUCCUCAGCCAUCUCCCCGGCGCUCGCCCUAUGCUCAUCGAAUUCUCCGCCGUCGGCGAACGCGGCGGUGCCGAUAGAGAUAUCACCGCCGCCGCCCAACCAAGGAGCCGCGAUGAUCCGCUACUCGAAGCAGCAGCUCUUGUCCUUACGCCCUGCGGCCAUUGAGCAAGUCAUGCGAGGCCGCGUCGUGGAUCAUCCGCCGUUCCUGAAGAUUCCGGAGAGCCUUGCGCCGCUACUUGGACUGCCAUGUGCGAUGGAAUACGUUAACGUGGACGCUGCGAUGCGGCUUGUCGAGCAUCGAUCGCAUGCAAGCCGACCUGCUUCAUCGCCGCCCACCAGCGUCGCCCGCACCGAGGACCUCGACGACGAGGCGCAAGCGCGCCUGUACACCUGCCCUAUAUGCGCUCAGGGUGAGCUCAAUUCCUGCACUGCGAUACAGCACAUCCUUCAGCGAACAAGCCGCUACGUUAUGUCGACCAAGCUGGGAGCGGCUCUCAUGCAGCCGGCGUUGGUUGUGGAGUCACUGCUGCGGCUCGCGCUGGUGUUUGAUGCGAAACAAAGCUCCCUGCGCUUGCGCAUGCUGGCGGAGCAGAGCCCUCGCGUGGUGCAUCUCGUCGAGGAGUACCUGUGUGGCGAGGGGUACCACCUCCCGCUGCCGCCCGUCACGGCGCACGAGGACUGGGCGGCGCUCAACGCCAUGCUGAAGUUCGACGCCAUCCGCGACAACAAAACCCGCGUCAUCACGGACCUGUCGAAGCACUGGAAGAAGCGUCGAACGCAGUUUGAGCAGUUUAUCUACUUUUUUGCCUUCCGCGACGCGCGGCCGGUGCGGCCGGCCAAGAACAUCAUCACCCAGUCCGCGAAGCCUGGCAUGGUCGCCAUGCUGACGGGGGACGUACCGGCCAUGGUUCUGCUUCACCGCCUAGGCUUCUUCAUUCCACCAGACUAUUACUGGAAAGUCUUCCCGUUCCUGCGCCAGGCGCUUGGUGAGGGCACCCUGGCUUAUGACGUUGUGCGGCAUCUCGGUCUCUACCUUUCCUCGGCUCAGCCAGCAGACAUGUACAAUCCGGUUGAGGUGCCUAUACAUGCGUAGCUGCGCCGAUGUCCGUGGUGGAGCUCGAGGCUGGGUAUCCAUGUCGGGCGCGGUGCGCUUCAGCGCCUAGCAGGGAAGGCGGAGAUGCAGGCGGCGCGAUGUCAUGCCCUGAGUGGCUGCCCUCCUUGAGGGAGGAGAGGAAUUUCUCUUGCCGUCUUUGUCUAGUGAUGCGUCUUGUGCAAGAGCUCCCGAAGGUGCGAGGAAAUAUCUUUACGCGUACGCACACAUAUGCACACAUUUGUGUGCGUGUCUGCGGAGACCUCAAGUAAGGUCUGGGAAAGGAAAGGUGCUGCCCUUUGAUCCACCACCACCGCCAAACACCUCGCACCGCUGCCCCCGAGUACGUGCACACAC
rnacentral:misc_RNA from 1 species